GCUCAGGAUGAACGCUAGCGACAGGCCUAACACAUGCAAGUCGAGGGGCAGCAUAAAGGUAGCAAUACUUUGGUGGCGACCGGCGCACGGGUGAGUAACACGUAUGCAACCUACCUGUAAGCGGGGAAUAACCCGGAGAAAUUCGGACUAAUACCGCAUAAUACCACUGAACUGCAUGGUUUAGUGUUUAAACAUUUAUGGCUUACAGAUGGGCAUGCGUAUGAUUAGAUAGUUGGUGAGGUAACGGCUCACCAAGUCAACGAUCAUUAGGGGUUCUGAGAGGAAGGUCCCCCACACUGGUACUGAGACACGGACCAGACUCCUACGGGAGGCAGCAGUGAGGAAUAUUGGUCAAUGGGCGAGAGCUGAACCAGCCAAGUCGCGUGAAGGAAGAAGGUUCUUAUGGUUGUAAACUUCUUUUGUAAGGGAAUAAAAGUGGACGUGACC
rnacentral:rRNA from 1 species